rnacentral:rRNA from 1 species
AUUGAACGCUAGCGGGAUGCUCUACACAUGCAAGUCGAACGAGUGGCGGACGGGAGAGCAAUAUAACGGAACGUGCCCAGUAGCGGGGGAUAACUACUCGAAAGAGUGGAUAAUACAGCAUACUCUAGGAGCGGCCGAUAUCGGAUUAGCUAGUUGGUGGGGUAAAGGCUCACCAAGGCAACGAUCAGUAGCUGGUUUGAGAGGACGACCAGCCACUCUGGAACUGAGACACGGCCCAAGCUCCUACGGUGGGCGGCGAUGGGGAAUUUUAGACAAUGGGGGAAGCCCUGUUCCCGCCAUGCCGCGUGUAUGAGAAGGCCUUCGGGUUGUGAAGUACUUUUGGCAGAGAAGCGGUGUCUGCAGAAUAAGCACCGGCAGACUACGUGCCAGCAGCCGCGGUAAUUC